rnacentral:rRNA from 1 species
AGCUUUAAGUAUUUUAUUUAAAGUACAACCUGCUCAAUGAGAAUUUAAAUAGCCGCAGUACCCUGACUGUGCAAAGGUAGCAUAAUCAGUUGACUUAUAAUUGAAGUCUAGUAUGAAUGGGAACACGGGAAUAUUCUGUCUUUAAUAUAUAAAAGAAAUUACUAAUUAAGUGAAAAUUCUUAAAAAUAAGAAAAUAGACGAGAAGACCCUAGAAAUUUUUUAAUUUGAUUUUGUUGGGGCGACAGGGUAACAAAAAACUUACCUAAAGUAAUAGGAAAUUUUUUAGUGGUGUAAUUAAAUUACUCUAGGGAUAACAGCAUAAUAUUUUAAAGGUUGUGACCUCGAUGUUGGACUAGGAAAUACACUACUUAAAAGGUAGUGUUUAUGGUUCUGUUCGAACUUUUACUCCUACAU